rnacentral:rRNA from 1 species
GGAUUAGAUACCCUGGUAGUCCACGCCCUAAACGAUGAAUGUUAGGCGUCGGGCCUUAAGGUUCGGUGCCGUAGCUAACGCGUUAAACAUUCCGCCUGGGGAGUACGGUCGCAAGAUUAAAACUCAAAGGAAUUGACGGGGACCCGCACAAGCGGUGGAGCAUGUGGUUUAAUUCGAUGCAACGCGAAGAACCUUACCACCUUUUGACAUCUUGGUCGCGAGGCUUGUAAUGAGCCUUUUCAGUUCGGCUGGACCAAUGACAGGUGUUGCAUGGCUGUCGUCAGCUCGUGUCG